CCAGCCAGCAGCAGCCUUGGGUUCCUGAUGCUGCCAUGGGCGCCAGGCUACUCUGCGGUGUGACUCUCUGCCUCCUGGGAGCAGGCCUGGUGGAUUCUGGAGUCACCCAGACCCCCAAGUACCUGAUCAAAUCAAGAAAGCAGCAAGUGACGCUGAGAUGUUCCCCUGACUCUGGACACCGCUCCGUGAACUGGUACCAGCAGGCCCUGGGCCAGGGCCCCCGGUUCCUCAUUCAGUAUUACCGCGGACAAGUUAAUGGAGAAGGAAACAUGCCAGAUCGAUUCUCAGGAAAACAGUUCAGUGAUUUUCACUCAGAGCUGAACCUGAGCUCCUUGGAGCUGACAGACUCAGCUGUGUAUCUCUGUGCCAGCAGCCAAGACACAGCCCUGCAUGACCAGGUGCAAAGGUAG